CGCUCCACUUGGCUGGCAGCCACGGUGUCACGAGUGGAGAAGGGGCAGGAUGGGGGGUGAUGAAAGAGGAACAGUGUCACCUCCAGAAUGCUUCCAUCCCUCCGGGACAUCUAUCUUCUCCAAGCCCCAACCAUGAAAGAAACUUCCAAAUUAGCAGAUAUCGCUGAGAACCUAAGUUGUUCCAGGCACUGAUAGAGAGGUGUGAGUAGCAUGGUAUAAAAAGUCAUGAACGAAUUCACAUGAGGCAGUAGAAGAUGCACGUCUUCUCAUGGGAGAACUUCUAGAGGACUAAAGAUGAGGUUACUGGCCUCUUUUAUUCUUUUCAUGAUGCCCACCCAUUCCUGUGAAUGACUCCUGUAGCAUCACUAAAAUGUCAUCUCCAGCUUGUUCUCCAGGAAGAAUGAACGUGUGGAAGCUGGCAUUUGAUUUCUUCCUGCUGGCUACUGACCUUAGAGAGACAGCAUGGACAGUGUGGAUACUCACUCUAACAUCAGGCAUGCUAUCAGAGCAGCAACAAAAACAACAAUGACAACAACUCUUGUCAGAGACCAAACUGCCAGAAACUAAGGAUGAAAAGAUCACCCCUCCUCCCUAGUCUUCUUCUGUGUCCCUGGGGUUUCUUUGGCAGGAAUGUUUUAUAUAUUACCUCAGGAGACCUGUAGCUGUGAGUAGCAGUUUUUCCUGGAAACAGAGGCAGAAGGUUCCUGCUUCCUUUAUGGCAGGCUCAUGUUCUCACUCAGGGAAUCAAGCAUUUCUUCAUACAAGUGGAAGUACAUGGUCUUUCCUUUCCUGGCUCAGCAGUUCCUACCCCCAGCAUCAGGCCAAGUCAAGACAAGUAGGGCUGUGACCUGGAGGAGUCUCCGUGAGCCCCACGAGAGAGUUUGGAGUGUCUCUCAGACAACAAAACUUUGAUGGACUUUGACUUCAGCAAUGACUCUUCUUCCUGGCAAACUACAUGUUGGAUGACCAAAGAAGAUGCUCUCUGCAGAGUGUAAUCCAGUCACCAAAGCCAGAGGUUAAGGGGAAGUUGCCAUUUUCCCUUGUUGUUUACCUGUCAAGGGUCUGUUGUCCGAAUCUUUCAGUUAUUGGUAUCCUGGCUUAGUACCUCUGCCCUGGUAUUUGAGUGUGUAUAUCAGCAGUGCUCGUGGCACUGCUUUGAAGUUUGUGGUCCUGCCACUCUAACUGUAUGACUUCGGGCCUUCAGUUAAUCUAAGUUUCAAAUUUCUUCUCUGUAUGAUGGGAGUAGUUAUGCCUGUCCUGCUUGCUUGAUCAGAUACAACCCCAAUUUUGUAAAUCUGAGAACUUAGGGUCCCAGAUCUGGGUAGGAAGCUUAUGUGCUAACCCACACAGCCUUUGUCUGCUUGAAGCAGCCACCCCUCACUGGCAUCCUGGAUAAAUGAUCCUCCAGCUUCAAACUGAGCUCUGGCUGGGGAUCUGCCCACUCAGGAGCUGAUUGUUAGAAAAUUCUUCCAUGGGCUGAGUUGAAAUCUGAACCCUCCAGUAACUUUUACCUGCUGGUUUCUAUUUUCUAUCUCACCUGGACUCAACGAUACACUUUUGUCACAAAAGUAUUCUGUAUAUUGAAGACUACUGCAAAAAGUCCCACCAUAGUUUUUUUUUUUUUUUUUUUAAUUAGUUAUCAAGUCAUCUCUUCAGCUCCUUUGCUUUGCCUUAGGGGGUUCUGAUCUAGGUUGACCGCAUAGAACAGGAUAUGGUGCAGUGUUCUGAACAUUAUCAGGGAUCCUUGUGGCAUCAGUUAUAAAACUUUGCCUGGAGUUCUCUGGGGGAAGGUGUUAUUAAUUAUUAUUAAUGGCAGAUGUCACCACCCAUAGUGUGAAUGCACAAAUCCUAGAGCCAUAAUUGGAAACACAUGCUUCUUAACAGGUUUUAAAUUAUUCUACUUCACUUGUAAAAAAAAAGUAUUUACUCUUAUACCACCUUGCAUUAUUUUUCAUUCUGAAGAGUAAUAGAGAUAUAUGAAAUUUUGGUAAAAAAAAAAAAAAAGAAAGAAAGACCUAGAGAAGAAUAUAAGGAAUAAAAUUAAAGUAAUU